GGAGAAACCUCCCGCAGGCUCCCGGGCCAGGCGUGCAAGGCCCCCUCUCCUGCCAGGGCCCAGGACGCUGCGGGCCCCAGCGGAGGGGAAGGGGACUAAGUAGGGGAAGAAGCUGUAAACAGCCCCAGCGUCCGGGCCUCGCCUCGAAGAGCCGCGCUUCCCAGGCCCAGCCGCGGGCCGCCCAGGCCCCCAGCCUGCCCCGGGGCCGCCGCGCCCGGGGUCCGGGACACCGGAGGGGAGUCGGGUCCCCUCCCCGGAGAGCUCCGGGAGCUCGCGGAGCGGCCCCAGGAGCAGAGAAGGGGGAAGUCAGGACUUACCUGUCAUUACUUUCUACGCCAUCUUGGAUCCACUUGUCAACGUCCCCACAAAGCAUUAUGGCGCCGCCCCCUCCGGCCGCGCCUCCCGCCCGGAAAGUUGCCCCGGGUGGACUGCCGACCCCGGCGCCCGCAGCUGGCCCCUUCCCCUCCCCCGGGCUGACGGCAUUGAAAAUUCACCCGCAUUUUUAAAACGUGGCUUUGGGGUUUUCUCCCUUUCUCCUGCCCCGGCCUCCCUGCCCCCACGCCCGGUCCUCUCGCCUCGCCGCGUUCCUGCCCGGGCAGACGCCCCGCGUCUGCAUUGAAUCAACCCGAGGUUUCCUUGCCGCCCGCGGCGCGGCGCGGAGCUGCUCGCGGAUUUAUUUGUGCGCGUGGAUGUGAGCGUUUCUGCUCCUGCGGCCGCGCUUCCAGGAAGCCCGCGAGCGGCCGGGGUCGCCUUCAGAGGCCGCGCAGACCAGCUCCGCACCCGCCGCCCGGAGAGGUGCCUCUGCCCUGGGAAACCGCCCCGGGGCCGUUGGGCUCCGGGAACUGGGAGGACGCCGUGUCCCCGAGUCCACCAGCGUCGAAGCACGAUUUAAAAAAAAAAAUUGAGCCAAAUGCAACUUUUUACCCCUUGUUUACUCUGUGUCCCGCGGUCUCCUCCUCCGGGCGGGUAACGUGAUCCGCGACCCUCUAGGUGGGGACCCCUCCCCUAGGAAUGUGGCUCCAGGCUCCGCGGAGCCACCCUGGGAGCGUCCGGGCUGCGGACUGUGACUCCGGGGCAGUGUGUGCAUCCAAGCCCAACCUUGUCAAAUACACCGCCUGUUGCCUGAGCUGGGACGGCCUGCCGACUCUUCUCCCUGCCCCUCCUGGAUACCUACAAUGCAUCCUCCACCUGACCAACCCUGUGAUAUUUUAUGAAUGUAAAUCAGAUCGAGACUUCUCUGCUGAAACCUUGGAAUAAAACCCAGAUUCCCAACCCUGGCCUACAAGCUCCUGUGUGAGGUGGUCCCACCUUCCCUCACCAGCAGUGGUCCAGGCUGGCCUUCUCUCUUUCCCUGCAGCGCCCCAAGCUUCCUUCCAGUGAGAACCCUAUUCCCCCAGAUCUUCUGAUUAUCUUUUCUUUGACAGAGUCUUGUUCUGUCGACCAGGCUAGAGUGCAGUAGCGCGAUCUCAAUUCACUGCAACCUCCGCCUUCUAGGUUCAAGCUGUUCUCUGCCUCAACCUCCUGAGUAGCUGGGAUUACAGGCGUCCGCCACCGCGCCCGGCUCAUUUUUGUAUUUUUAGUAGAGACAGGGUUUCACCAUCUUGGCCAGGGUGAUCUUGAACUACUGACCUCGUGAUCCAUGCGCCUUGGCCUCCCAAAGUGCUGGGAUUACAGGCGUGAGCCACCACGCCCGACCCAUCAUCUUUUCAUCAUAUUUAGGUCCCCUCAAAGAGGACUUUUGUGAUCCCCCUACCCAGACCAAGUCACUCUGAACACUUGACCUGUGUUAGAAGUUCUCUUGUUUAGGUCGGACGCUGUGGCUCAUGCCUGUAAUCCCAGCACUUUGGGAGGCCAAGGUGGGUGGAUCACAAGGUCAGGAGUUCAAGACCAGCCUGGCCAAGAUGGUGAAACCCUGUCUCUACUAAAGGUACAAAAAUUACAGCGCGCCUGUAAUCCCAGCUACUCGGGAGGCUGAGGCAGGAGAAUUGCUUGAACCUGGGGGGCCAAGGUUGCAGUGAGCCAAGAUCGUGCCACUGCCCUCCAGCCUGGGUGACAGAGUGAGAAUUCCAUCUCAAAAAAAAAGUUCUCUUGUUUGCCUGUUGUUAGUUGUUUCUUAUCUGCCCCGCCCCCAUUUGAUCAUAUGCUCCCUCUGGGCACAGGCUCUGUCUGGCUUAUUUGCCUCAGUGACUAGACCAGGGCCUGGCACAUACAUAGACGCUCACCAAGUAUUAGUCGAGUACAUGACCAAACUUCUCUCAGGGAUGGGCGUGUUGAUGAAAAGGAGUGCUAAAGUGUGAAGUGAGAUGCUGAGGGCCCUGCCUCGCAUCUCUUCAGACCACUGACCACACACAGCUAGAGGCAGGCAGAAAGGAACAGUGUUGAGGGAAAACAGGUCCCUUGGCCACCACUGAUUUAGCUCAAUUCUGAUUCUGAUCUCAUGAACACACACAGCCCUAACUAACUGAUCCCCCCGACAUCACAUCCCUCUUCCUUCCCACAUUUUUUCUUUCUCCUCUGCUCCCACUGGCCGUGGCUUCUUUUCUUUUCUUUUUUUUUUUUUUUUUUGAAACAGUGUCUUUCUCUGUCACCCAGGCCGGAGUGCAGUGGCGCGAUCUUGGCUCACUGCAACCUCCACCUCCUGGGUUCAAGCGAUUCUCCUGCCUCAGCCUCCCGAAUGCUGGCACCACAGGCACACACCACCACGCCCAGGUAAUUUUUGUAUUUUUAGUAGAGACAGGGUUUCACCAUGUUAACUAGGCUGGUCUCGAACUCCUAGCCUGAAGUGACCCACCCGCCUCGGCUU
rnacentral:lncRNA from 1 species